UGAAUACGAGAUGCUACGGCGUCGAAGCAGUCUAUGUCAUACUUCCAAGAAAAGCUUGCACUGUCAUAAACAAAUAAUGCCUGUACCAUAACCGACACAGGUGGGUAGGUAGAGUAUACUAAGGGGCGCGAGAUAACUCUCUCUAAGGAACUCGGCAAAAUGACUCCGUAACUUCGGGAGAAGGAGUGCCUUAUUUAUAAGGUUGCAAUAACAAGAUCCAAGCAACUGUUUACCAAAAACACAGGUCUCCGCUAAGUCGUAAGACGAUGUAUGGGGGCUGACGCCUGCCCAGUGCCAGAAGGUUAAAGAAGUUGGUUAGCAUCCGCGAAGCUGAUAACUGAAGCCCUGGUGAACGGCGGCCGUAACGAUAACGGUCCUAAGGUAGCGAAAUUCCUUGUCGGGUAAGUUCCGACCCGCACGAAAGGCGUAAUGAUUUGGAUACUGUCUCGGAGAGGGGCUCGGUGAAAUAGACUUGUCUGUGAAGAUGCGGACUACCUGCACCAGGACAGAAAGACCCUAUGAAGCUUUACUGUAACCUGAAAUUGAAAUUGGACUUUACUUGCGCAGUAUAGGUGGGAGGCGUUGAGAAUAUUCUUGCGGGAUUAUUGGAGCCAUCAGUGAGAUACCACUCUUGUAAUGUUAGAUUUCUAACUUUGUAUCAUUAUCUGGUCAAAGAACAGUUUCAGGCGGGCAGUUUGACUGGGGCGGUCGCCUCCUAAACGGUAACGGAGGCGCACAAAGGUUUCCUCUGAACGGGUAGAAAUCGUAUCUAGAGUGUAAAGGCAUAAGGAAGCUUGACUGUGAGACCUACAAGUCGAGCAGGGACGAAAGUCGGUCUUAGUGAUCUGACGGUGCUGAGUGGAAAGGCCGUCACUCAACGGAUAAAAGUUACUCUAAGGAUAACAGGCUGAUCUCCCCCAAGAGUUCACAUCGACGGGGAGGUUUGGCACCUCGAUGUCGGCUCAUCGCAUCCUGGGGCGGUAGUACGUCCCAAGGGUUGGGCUGUUCGCCCAUGAAAGCGGUACGCGAGCUGGGUUCAGAACGUCGUGAGACAGUUCGGUCCAUAUCCGGUGUAGGCGUUAGAAUAUUGAGAGGAGCCUUCUUUAGUACGAGAGGACCGAGAAGGACAUACCUCUGGUGUACCAGUUAUCGUGCCAACGGUAAACGCUGGGUAGCUAUGUGUGGAGUGGAUAACCGCUGAAAGCAUCUAAGUGGGAAGCCCACCUCAAGAUGAGUACUCCCAUGGGGUUAACCCAGUAAGGUCACGGGAAGACCACCCGUUUAUAGGUUCUAGAUGGAAGUCCAGCAAUGGAUGAAGUCGAGGGAUACUAAUAGACC
rnacentral:rRNA from 1 species